GUUCAAACCAUUACCUUCUCUUCAUCUUCCUCCUUAAACCCAGAUCAAACCAGAUCUACUUUCACAAGGUCUCAAACCCAGAUCGAGAGGGAGAAGGUGAUGGUUACGGUGGAUGUUGAAGAAGGGAAGUUGUGUACGGUGGUCGCUAUGGGGUUUCGCGGUUGGGUUCACAGGGUCUCAAACCCAGCUCUCAAAAUAAUCCCUCGCAUCAAAUUUCUGAACAAACAUCGCAACUCUUCUAGUAUCCCUCGCCCCUCAUUUCAGAUGGAUCUAGGAAUAGCGUACCCUAGGUUUUGGAGAAGCCGCUUUGAUGAUCUGAAUGUUCUGAAAUAUUUUCAAUUUUUAUUCUUUGCUGUUGAGAAGGGAUGUGGUUUGUGGUUCUCUUGACUCACGUAAAGAAGAACUUAUCUCAAUCCCACCUCCGCAGAAGACUUUGACAAUGGUGUGGUCUCUUGGAGACUUGAAACUCAAGAUCUCUGUAAUCCUUUGCAGCUCUGUUUCGCUGGGCAGAAAUGGCAGGACUAACACCAUUGCUUGGACGUGACUGGGUAUUGCAUAUGUUGGGCUUUGGAAUAGCAAAGUUGUCUAAGUCGCGUCUCCGCCGUCGUCCCUCAUCUUCUCCGCCGUCGUCCCUCGUCGCUGACGGUCUCUCUCUCAAGCUUCUCUGAAAAGCUUCACUUUGGGAAGGAGGAGAGUGAGGUGGGUCUUGCCAUGGUUGCUCGUGAUGGUUUUGGAUGCCCCGUGGCUGCUGCUACGUUGUUUGUGGACCAUGUGCUCUCUCCCCAUGCCAUGAGGCGUUGGCUUUGUGGUGGGUGAAGUAUCUUGCUCAUGAUCUCUAUUUCCGGGAUGCUCAGAUUGAGAUGGAUUGUCUUCAUCUUUUUGAGCUUUGGCGAACAAAGAUGUUGUCGUGUCUUGUUUUGGCUCCCUAGUUCAGGAGUGUUGUUCUUUGGCUUUGUAUUUUUCUUCUUUUUGUUUAUUGUCAACAAUAUAGUCGCUAACUAUAUGUUUCAUUUGGCUUUUUCUGUUUCCUGACCGUGUUUGGAUUGAGAACGUGCUAGAUGGACUUGCUCCUCUCUUGUCUUCUGAUUCUAUAUAUUAAUGCCUUCUAUAUAUUCAA